rnacentral:rRNA from 1 species
GGGUUGUGAGGUUAAGCGACUAAGCGUACACGGUGGAUGCCCUGGCAGUCAGAGGCGAUGAAGGACGUGCUAAUCUGCGAUAAGCGUCGGUGAGGUGAUAUGAACCGUUAUAACCGGCGAUUUCCGAAUGGGGAAACCCAGUGUGUUUCGACACACUAUCAUUAACUGAAUCCAUAGGUUAAUGAGGCGAACCGGGGGAACUGAAACAUCUAAGUACCCCGAGGAAAAGAAAUCAACCGAGAUUCCCCCAGUAGCGGCGAGCGAACGGGGAGGAGCCCAGAGCCUGAAUCAGUGUGUGUGUUAGUGGAAGCGUCUGGAAAGGCGCGCGAUACAGGGUGACAGCCCCGUACACAAAAAUGCACAUAUUGUGAGCUCGAUGAGUAGGGCGGGACACGUGGUAUCCUGUCUGAAUAUGGGGGGACCAUCCUCCAAGGCUAAAUACUCCUGACUGACCGAUAGUGAACCAGUACCGUGAGGGAAAGGCGAAAAGAACCCCGGCGAGGGGAGUGAAAAAGAACCUGAAACCGUGUACGUACAAGCAGUGGGAGCCUCUUAAUGGGGUGACUGCGUACCUUUUGUAUAAUGGGUCAGCGACUUAUAUUCUGUAGCAAGGUUAACCGAAUAGGGGAGCCGAAGGGAAACCGAGUCUUAACUGGGCGUUAAGUUGCAGGGUAUAGACCCGAAACCCGGUGAUCUAGCCAUGGGCAGGUUGAAGGUUGGGUAACACUAACUGGAGGACCGAACCGACUAAUGUUGAAAAAUUAGCGGAUGACUUGUGGCUGGGGGUGAAAGGCCAAUCAAACCGGGAGAUAGCUGGUUCUCCCCGAAAGCUAUUUAGGUAGCGCCUCGUGAAUUCAUCUCCGGGGGUAGAGCACUGUUUCGGCAAGGGGGUCAUCCCGACUUACCAACCCGAUGCAAACUGCGAAUACCGGAGAAUGUUAUCACGGGAGACACACGGCGGGUGCUAACGUCCGUCGUGAAGAGGGAAACAACCCAGACCGCCAGCUAAGGUCCCAAAGUCAUGGUUAAGUGGGAAACGAUGUGGGAAGGCCCAGACAGCCAGGAUGUUGGCUUAGAAGCAGCCAUCAUUUAAAGAAAGCGUAAUAGCUCACUGGUCGAGUCGGCCUGCGCGGAAGAUGUAACGGGGCUAAACCAUGCACCGAAGCUGCGGCAGCGACACUAUGUGUUGUUGGGUAGGGGAGCGUUCUGUAAGCCUGUGAAGGUGGCCUGUGAGGGUUGCUGGAGGUAUCAGAAGUGCGAAUGCUGACAUAAGUAACGAUAAAGCGGGUGAAAAGCCCGCUCGCCGGAAGACCAAGGGUUCCUGUCCAACGUUAAUCGGGGCAGGGUGAGUCGACCCCUAAGGCGAGGCCGAAAGGCGUAGUCGAUGGGAAACAGGUUAAUAUUCCUGUACUUGGUGUUACUGCGAAGGGGGGACGGAGAAGGCUAUGUUGGCCGGGCGACGGUUGUCCCGGUUUAAGCGUGUAGGCUGGUUUUCCAGGCAAAUCCGGAAAAUCAAGGCUGAGGCGUGAUGACGAGGCACUACGGUGCUGAAGCGACAAAUGCCCUGCUUCCAGGAAAAGCCUCUAAGCAUCAGGUAACAUCAAAUCGUACCCCAAACCGACACAGGUGGUCAGGUAGAGAAUACCAAGGCGCUUGAGAGAACUCGGGUGAAGGAACUAGGCAAAAUGGUGCCGUAACUUCGGGAGAAGGCACGCUGAUAUGUAGGUGAAGCGACUUGCUCGUGGAGCUGAAAUCAGUCGAAGAUACCAGCUGGCUGCAACUGUUUAUUAAAAACACAGCACUGUGCAAACACGAAAGUGGACGUAUACGGUGUGACGCCUGCCCGGUGCCGGAAGGUUAAUUGAUGGGGUUAGCGGUAACGCGAAGCUCUUGAUCGAAGCCCCGGUAAACGGCGGCCGUAACUAUAACGGUCCUAAGGUAGCGAAAUUCCUUGUCGGGUAAGUUCCGACCUGCACGAAUGGCGUAAUGAUGGCCAGGCUGUCUCCACCCGAGACUCAGUGAAAUUGAACUCGCUGUGAAGAUGCAGUGUACCCGCGGCAAGACGGAAAGACCCCGUGAACCUUUACUAUAGCUUGACACUGAACAUUGAGCCUUGAUGUGUAGGAUAGGUGGGAGGCUUUGAAGUGUGGACGCCAGUCUGCAUGGAGCCGACCUUGAAAUACCACCCUUUAAUGUUUGAUGUUCUAACGUGGGCCCCUUACCGGGGUUGCGGACAGUGUCUGGUGGGUAGUUUGACUGGGGCGGUCUCCUCCUAAAGAGUAACGGAGGAGCACGAAGGUUGGCUAAUCCUGGUCGGACAUCAGGAGGUUAGUGCAAUGGCAUAAGCCAGCUUGACUGCGAGCGUGACGGCGCGAGCAGGUGCGAAAGCAGGUCAUAGUGAUCCGGUGGUUCUGAAUGGAAGGGCCAUCGCUCAACGGAUAAAAGGUACUCCGGGGAUAACAGGCUGAUACCGCCCAAGAGUUCAUAUCGACGGCGGUGUUUGGCACCUCGAUGUCGGCUCAUCACAUCCUGGGGCUGAAGUAGGUCCCAAGGGUAUGGCUGUUCGCCAUUUAAAGUGGUACGCGAGCUGGGUUUAGAACGUCGUGAGACAGUUCGGUCCCUAUCUGCCGUGGGCGCUGGAGAACUGAGGGGGGCUGCUCCUAGUACGAGAGGACCGGAGUGGACGCAUCACUGGUGUUCGGGUUGUCAUGCCAAUGGCACUGCCCGGUAGCUAAAUGCGGAAGAGAUAAGUGCUGAAAGCAUCUAAGCACGAAACUUGCCCCGAGAUGAGUUCUCCCUGACUCCUUGAGAGUCCUGAAGGAACGUUGAAGACGACGACGUUGAUAGGCCGGGUGUGUAAGCGCAGCGAUGCGUUGAGCUAACCGGUACUAAUGAACCGUGAGGCUUAACCUUACAA